AAAAAAGGUAAGCUACUAAGAGCGAAUGGUGGAUGCCUUGACUGGUAAAGGCGAUGAAGGACGUACUAGACUGCGAUAAGCUACGGGGAGCUGUCAAGAAGCUUUGAUCCGUAGAUUUCCGAAUGGGGCAACCCAAUGUAUAGAGAUAUACAUUACCUAUAUAGGAGCGAACGAGGGGAAUUGAAACAUCUUAGUACCCUCAGGAAAAGAAAUCAAUAGAGAUUGCGUCAGUAGCGGCGAGCGAAAGCGUAAGAGGGCAAACCCAGUGCUUGCACUGGGGGUUGUAGGACUGCAAUGUGCAAGAGCUGAGUUUAGCAGAACAUUCUGGAAAGUAUAGCCAUAGAGGGUGAUAGUCCCGUAUGCGAAAAAUGAAGCUUAGCUAGCAGUAUCCUGAGUAGGGCGAAACACGUGGAAUUUUGUCUGAAGCUGGGUCGACCACGAUCCAACCCUAAAUACUAAUACCAGAUCGAUAGUGCACAAGUACCGUGAGGGAAAGGUGAAAAGAACUGAGGUGAUCAGAGUGAAAUAGAACCUGAAACCAUUUGCUUACAAUCAUUCAGAGCACUAUGUAGCAAUACAGUGUGAUGGACUGCCUUUUGCAUAAUGAGCCUGCGAGUUGUGGUGUCUGGCAAGGUUAAGUACACGCGAAGCCGUAGCGAAAGCGAGUCUGAAUAGGGCGCUUAGUCAGAUGCUGCAGACCCGAAACGAAGUGAUCUAUCCAUGAGCAAGUUGAAGCUAGUGUAAGAACUAGUGGAGGACUGAACCCAUAGGCGUUGAAAAGCCCCGGGAUGACUUGUGGAUAGGGGUGAAAGGCCAAUCAAACUUCGUGAUAGCUGGUUCUCUCCGAAAUAUAUUUAGGUAUAGCGUUGUGUCGUAAUAUAAGGGGGUAGAGCACUGAAUGGGCUAGGGCAUACACCAAUGUACCAAACCCUAUCAAACUCCGAAUACCUUAUAUGUAAUCACAGCAGUCAGGCGGCGAGUGAUAAAAUCCGUCGUCAAGAGGGAAACAACCCAGACUACCAGCUAAGGUCCCUAAAUCUUACUUAAGUGGAAAACGAUGUGAAGUUACUUAAACAACCAGGAGGUUGGCUUAGAAGCAGCCAUCCUUUAAAGAAAGCGUAAUAGCUCACUGGUCUAGUGAUUUUGCGCGGAAAAUAUAACGGGGCUAAAGUAAGUACCGAAGCUGUAGACUUGACUUUGUCAAGUGGUAGGAGAGCGUUCUAUUUGCGUCGAAGGUAUACCGGUAAGGAGUGCUGGAGCGAAUAGAAGUGAGCAUGCAGGCAUGAGUAGCGAUAAUUAAUGUGAGAAUCAUUAACGCCGUAAACCCAAGGUUUCCUACGCGAUGCUCGUCAUCGUAGGGUUAGUCGGGUCCUAAGCCGAGUCCGAAAGGGGUAGGUGAUGGCAAAUUGGUUAAUAUUCCAAUACCAACAUUAGUGUGCGAUGGAAGGACGCUUAGGGCUAAGGGGGCUAGCGGAUGGAAGUGCUAGUCUAAGGUUGUAGGAGGUUAUAUAGGCAAAUCCGUAUAACAAUACUCUGAGAACUGAAAGGCUCUUUGAAGUCUUCGGAUGGAUAGGAGAACCCCUGAUGCCGUCGAGCCAAGAAAAGUUUCUAAGUUUAGCUAAUGUUGCCCGUACCGUAAACCGACACAGGUGGGUGGGAUGAGUAUUCUAAGGCGCGUGGAAGAACUCUCUUUAAGGAACUCUGCAAAAUAGCACCGUAUCUUCGGUAUAAGGUGUGGUUCGCUUCGUAUUAGGAUUUACUCCGAAAGCGAAGAAACUUACAACAAAGAGUCCCUCCCGACUGUUUACCAAAAACACAGCACUCUGCUAACUCGUAAGAGGAUGUAUAGGGUGUGACGCCUGCCCGGUGCUCGAAGGUUAAUUGAUGGGGUUAGCAUUAGCGAAGCUCUUGAUCGAAGCCCGAGUAAACGGCGGCCGUAACUAUAACGGUCCUAAGGUAGCGAAAUUCCUUGUCGGUUAAAUACCGACCUGCAUGAAUGGCGUAACGAGAUGGGAGCUGUCUCAAAGAGGGAUCCAGUGAAAUUGUAGUGGAGGUGAAAAUUCCUCCUACCCGCGGCAAGACGGAAAGACCCCGUGGACCUUUACUACAGCUUGACACUGCUACUUGGAUAAGAAUGUGCAGGAUAGGUGGGAGGCUUUGAGUAAUAGACGCCAGUUUAUUAUGAGCCAUUGUUGAGAUACCACUCUUUCUUAUUUGGGUAGCUAACCAGCUUGAGUUAUCCUCAAGUGGGACAAUGUCUGGUGGGUAGUUUGACUGGGGCGGUCGCCUCCCAAAUAAUAACGGAGGCUUACAAAGGUUGGCUCAGAACGGUUGGAAAUCGUUCGUAGAGUAUAAAGGUAUAAGCCAGCUUAACUGCAAGACAUACAAGUCAAGCAGAGACGAAAGUCGGUCUUAGUGAUCCGGUGGUUCUGUGUGGAAGGGCCAUCGCUCAAAGGAUAAAAGGUACCCCGGGGAUAACAGGCUGAUCUCCCCCAAGAGCUCACAUCGACGGGGAGGUUUGGCACCUCGAUGUCGGCUCAUCGCAUCCUGGGGCUGGAGCAGGUCCCAAGGGUAUGGCUGUUCGCCAUUUAAAGCGGUACGCGAGCUGGGUUCAGAACGUCGUGAGACAGUUCGGUCCCUAUCUGCCGUGGGCGUAAGAAGAUUGAAGAGAUUUGACCCUAGUACGAGAGGACCGGGUUGAACAAACCACUGGUGUAGCUGUUGUUCUGCCAAGAGCAUCGCAGCGUAGCUAAGUUUGGAAAGGAUAAACGCUGAAAGCAUCUAAGCGUGAAGCCAACUCUAAGAUGAAUCUUCUCUAAGCUCUCUAGAAGACUACUAGUUUGAUAGGCUGGGUGUGUAAUGGAUGAAAGUCCUUUAGCUGACCAGUACUAAUAGAGCGUUUGGCUUAUCUUUAUAAAGCAU
rnacentral:rRNA from 1 species